GACGAACGCUGGCGGCGUGCCUAAUACAUGCAAGUCGAACGCAUUUUCUUUCACCGUAGCUUGCUACACCGAAAGAAAAUGAGUGGCGAACGGGUGAGUAGCACGUGGGUAACCUGCCCAUCAGCGGGGGAUAACACUUGGAAACAGGUGCUAAUACCGCAUAAUUCCAUUUACCGCAUGGUAGAUGGGUGAAAGGCGCUUUUGCGUCACUGAUGGAUGGACCCGCGGUGCAUUAGCUAGUUGGUGGGGUAACGGCCUACCAAGGCUGCGAUGCAUAGCCGACCUGAGAGGGUGAUCGGCCACACUGGGACUGAGACACGGCCCAGACUCCUACGGGAGGCAGCAGUAGGGAAUCUUCGGCAAUGGACGCAAGUCUGACCGAGCAACGCCGCGUGAGUGAAGAAGGUUUUCGGAUCGUAAAACUCUGUUGUUAGAGAAGAACAAGGAUGAGAGUGGAAAGUUCAUCCCUUGACGGUAUCUAACCAGAAAGCCACGGCUAACUACGUG
rnacentral:rRNA from 1 species